CAGCUGAGUCAAGACGGGCUUGGACACUUUGUCCACAAACUUUAACCUCACUUUAAAAAGCUCCUCUAGAAAAUACAGAAAAAAUACAAAACUUUUACAAACUUAUUGUACCACAGCAAAACUUUGUAGCAGUGUGACUAGAGAAACAGGGGCCGUGGCCUGGAGUCAGAACGUUCAACCUCUGAUCUGAUGAUCCCACGUUUGCUUUCCAUUUAGCCCUUCACCAUGUGUGAAAGUGGUUGCAAAGUGUCCUUGGGCAAGAAGACACUGAACCGCACAUUGCUCCUGGUGGUUAUGGGUUGGUGCCGGUGUUUAUUAGCAGAGCGGCCAGCGCCACCUUCAGUAUGUGAAUGUGUGAGCAUAGGUGGUGUAGAGCACUUUGAGUUCUAAAUCAAGAUAGAAAAGUGCUAUAUAUAGGUUUAUGCUAUUCAAUACAUAUAAGUUUGAAUAAAAACAAAUUUUAAAAAAUAUAUAACAAAUUGUUGUGUUUUUUGUUGUUGUUCUCCUGCAAAAACACUGUUCCUGCUGGAUGCAGGGGCGCAAAAAGUGGGUAUGCAGCGAAUGUGUCGCAUAGGGGCGCCAGCCAAAGGGGGCGCCAACACGAAAUUGUGAAAAUUAUUUAAAGAGCGUAUUUUUUAAUUUCACAGCUGUUUGUGCACAUAUAUUUACAUGAUAUGAUCAGUAACAGAAGCACAUCGUAACUGAUUGGGCGCCCCCACCGCAGGCGCUCCUCCCUCCCUCAGGUCUUGCAAUCCAGCACAUGCACGCGAGAACGUGCUGGAGCGCGCUCUGUUGAUUGUUUUUAUUUGAAUUGAGUGAUCAUCGGAUUACAGGGUUAAAUGGAAAAGCAAAAGAAAAAACAAUCUGGGGCUCAAAACAGAAAACGCAAUAGGAACAAAGAUGUGGUGAGAAUGAAGAAAAGUUUCUCUAAAUGGUUGAGAGACAGCAGAUGAGAGGAUGGAGAGAAAGACGAGAAUAGAGAAAGAAUCAGGACAGAAGGAGGAAAGAAACAGGAUUUAGUGGAGAAGAACACAGACAAGAGCUGAAGGAGACAGACAUGAGUUUGGUGAUCUGAUAGAAAAGAGAGCAGAGAUGACUUAAGGUAGGAAAAAUUAAACUAUUGAAGUCACAAAAACCAAGAUGCUCAUUCUGGUUUAAAUUUCUGCUGACCACCUGUUCACUUAUUUUGGGAAAACAAGUGCAGACAUACCUGACAUGUCAGUCCCAACAGAGAAGAAUGAGGAGAGAGGUUCAGAUGAUGAUGAUGAUGAUAGAGAGCAAGAGAGACGAUCAGCUGAUGAUGAAGAGGUAAAAGAACAGAGAGGUACAGAGGAGAGGGCUGGGGCAAGGCAUUACUCAGAAGAUCCUUCUGAAUGGCCUCCACCACACAGAUUUGGGGAAUCAUUGAGGCAACACACUGUUGAAAAUGGCUCACAAAAAUGUUCUGCUGGGUCAUUUCCAAUCAGAAAAGAAGUAAUGAGAUGUAUGCAUUUAAACAAUAAAGGUUUUGUGUGGGUGCUUAGAUAUCUUUAGGUGAGGAGGAUGGGACGUUUUAUUAUGUGCAUUUAUGUCUCUGUGUGUGUGUGAGGGGGGGGGGGGGGUAUUUUGGCCGCAUACCCCUAUGAAAUUAGGUAGUUGCGCCCCUGGCUGGAUGUCCAAUAUCCUUUUGUAUAAUUACCUCUAAAGGCGAAAGUAAAUGCUUUCAAGCUUUCACGCCGUUUUGCAUCUCACUGCCAGAUUAUUGGCUAUAAAACCAGAGAAACUGAACUCUGUAAAUCAAAUCUUGAGGCAUCAAUGUUUCAAGCUCCAGGUUUUUGUCCCAAGAAAGAAACGAAGUUGUUGUCUUUGAGACAAAAAAUAAAGUUGGUACAUGUACAUAUACAAUGGUCAUUUUCAAGUUUGUGUAUGUUUGUGUAUAUGUAUGUUAUAGAAAUACACGUUAUGCAAGCUCAGUUUCCGCUUUGAGAGCAGCGGUUUCUAGUCUGAAU